CGGCCACAUUGGAACUGAGACACGGUCCAAACUCCUACGGGAGGCAGCAGUGGGGAAUAUUGCACAAUGGGCGAAAGCCUGAUGCAGCAACGCCGCGUGAGUGAUGAAGGCCUUCGGGUCGUAAAACUCUGUCCUCAAGGAAGAUAAUGACGGUACUUGAGGAGGAAGCCCCGGCUAACUACGUGCCAGCAGCCGCGGUAAUACGUAGGGGGCUAGCGUUAUCCGGAUUUACUGGGCGUAAAGGGUGCGUAGGCGGUCUUUCAAGUCAGGAGUGAAAGGCUACGGCUCAACCGUAGUAAGCUCUUGAAACUGGGAGACUUGAGUGCAGGAGAGGAGAGUGGAAUUCCUAGUGUAGCGGUGAAAUGCGUAGAUAUUAGGAGGAACACCAGUUGCGAAGGCGGC
rnacentral:rRNA from 1 species